CAACAUGGAAGCAGAGAAAGACAUACAGCCCUAAAAUGACCUCAUUCAGCAUGUGGUCCAAGAGGUGCACAUGAUGUUGUUCAGCCUGUUAAGUUCUUCCAGUUGAGAUGUUGAUAUCCAGGACUGCCUUAGAGAUGAAAGGGAUGAAAGAAGUGAGAGCAUAUCAAAGGAUUUCCAAGGCAUCUGGAGACACAACUACCAAUGGUUGAACUUGGUCCUUGACUGAGUGCAAUGAACCAUUACAGAAGCUAUAUUGAUCCAUAAUUUGUCACUCUGAGAUCACAACAAUCGGUCCCGACUGUGCCUACAAGCUGUGGGGAUCUGAGAUAAAACAGGCUUGACCUGAGUCCUGGUGUCUGGGUCAGUAUUUUCCUCCAGUAAGAUAUGAACAUAUGCACCACCAUUUUCCAGAUGACUGAGGUUAAAGACAUGAUUUGAAAUGCCCAAGGAGUAAUACAGACAUCCAAUCGCAUAAACUGGACUAGGUCACUCAGACUUCAAGUUCAAGUUUAAGUGAGUUCUGCAAUAUCUCACACCAACAUGAGCAUGUUGUACCACUUCUUUCCCAGAUACACCUUGACACUAUGAUUCUGCAUGGAACAUCAAAAAUGUGCAAAGCUGGGAGCUACAUUUUUCAGUAAAUCUUUUCCAUCUUUCAGCCAACUUUUCAUGGAUUUUAAAUACAGGCCUUAUGGCAGAACUGAUUUAUGUAAUUUUCCUAGCACAAUCAUCAUCUACAUAAAUAGCCUGUACCCGUUUUACCAACUUUUUUAUUCUCUGCCAGCUUUUGAGCUGCCUUCACAUGUUUUCUUGGUUGGAAUGAAUAGAUCCAUGCUGUGUCCUAAAGUGAUCUUACUGAAAGGGAUAAAAGAAUUAGCCUCACUCAGGGUUUUUGUUGCUAAUGGUUCCCCAGUGACUGAUGCUGAAAACUCCACACAUCAUAUGGGUUUGAACUGUAAUGCCAUUUGCUGUAAAGCAGCUUGCUAAUGAUUUCUCCAUUCUCAUGUCACUAUUUAAUCAGGGCAAAGCAGCGGAAAUUAUCCUUGAAGGGCCUACCUGGAGUCAUUAUCUUCAAAACAUGAGAUAUUUGGACAAUUUUGUUCGAAGAGUAGACUCAGAAUUCCAAUAAUGCUCAAAGUUUGCAGCCGAUUGUACCAGUGAAACUAUAAAAUCCUAAUGCUUGGGUGUUUUUGAAGUAUUGCAAAAGCAAGAUUAUUCUCAUGCCUUUGGUAAGUUGUGGAGCUGAUCAAAGCUGGCUUCAAAUAUUGCGCUGCAUGGUAAUAACAGAUGUGAUCUUAAGAAUGGUUCUGAAUUAAAUCUGGAGUCAUAAGUCAAAGAAUCAAUAGAAUUGGAUGAAGGCCAGGGGAAGGCAUUAAUAUGGAGGCAGAGCAAGAAGAAGAAAGGACAGAUUCUUGAGAAGUUCUGGAUUAACGAGAUUCAGGGGUGAAGCAGAGUCAUUUAUUUAAGAUAUGGCAUUUAUUGAAGAGGCACACUUUGUUGUAGAGAGAGAGAAGGAGGAUGAGGUGAAAUGGAUCACUCUUUAAAAGAAUUGCCAGUCGCAUGAUAAGAGUCCUUCAGUAUUCUGAGAUCAUAGUGAUUCAAACCUGGAUGAUAUACUAAACACUUAGUGCAACUGAGCAUUAUGCUUAACUUUCGUCAUUCAAUUCUAUUGAUUUUAAUACUAUCAAAUUUUAGAAGUAAACUCCAGUGAAGCUUCCACUAUAUGACAUUUUGAGCCUUAAUGAGUAAGGAUGAUUCUCCACUCUCUGAAGAUGAAAUUGAAAAGCCACCAGCAGUACA